GGUUGGACCGAGUGCAGUGGUGUUUACAACUGAUUGAUCGCAAUCAGUUACAAAUUCCUUUGGUCCUUCUCCACUCCCACUGCUUCACUUGACCAGCCUUAA
rnacentral:Y_RNA from 1 species